UUCCGGUUGAUCCUGCCGGAGGCCACUGCUAUGGGGGUCCGACUAAGCCAUGCGAGUCAUGGGGCGCGCUCUGCGCGCACCGGCGGACGGCUCAGUAACACGUCGGUAACCUACCCUCGGGAGGGGGAUAACCCCGGGAAACUGGGGCUAAUCCCCCAUAGGCCUGAGGUACUGGAAGGUCCUCAGGCCGAAAGGGCGUAAGCCGCCCGAGGAUGGGCCGGCGGCCGAUUAGGUAGUUGGUGGGGUAACGGCCCACCAAGCCGAAGAUCGGUACGGGCCAUGAGAGUGGGAGCCCGGAGAUGGACACUGAGACACGGGUCCAGGCCCUACGGGGCGCAGCAGGCGCGAAACCUCCGCAAUGCGGGAAACCGCGACGGGGGGACCCCCAGUGCCGUGGCAUCGCCACGGCUUUUCCGGAGUGUAAAGAGCUCCGGGAAUAAGGGCUGGGCAAGGCCGGUGGCAGCCGCCGCGGUAAUACCGGCGGCCCGAGUGGUGGCCGCUAUUAUUGGGCCUAAAGCGUCCGUAGCCGGGCCCGUAAGUCCCUGGCGAAAUCCCACGGCUCAACCGUGGGGCUUGCUGGGGAUACUGCGGGCCUUGGGACCGGGAGAGGCCGGGGGUACUCCUGGGGUAGGGGUGAAAUCCUAUAAUCCCAGGAGGACCGCCAGUGGCGAAGGCGCCCGGCUGGAACGGGUCCGACGGUGAGGGACGAAGGCCAGGGGAGCGAACCGGAUUAGAUACCCGGGUAGUCCUGGCUGUAAAGGAUGCGGGCUAGGUGUCGGGCGAGCUUCGAGCUCGCCCGGUGCCGAAGGGAAGCCGUUAAGCCCGCCGCCUGGGGAGUACGGCCGCAAGGCUGAAACUUAAAGGAAUUGGCGGGGGAGCACUACAAGGGGUGGAGCGUGCGGUUUAAUUGGAAUCAACGCCGGA
rnacentral:rRNA from 1 species